GCGCACGCUGAUGUGCGACGGAGUCCGUGUGUGAGGCAGAGAGUUUGAGACGUCCAUCGCACCACACGGCCUUCGACAAGCUGUGUGGCCCGAACACGGGAGAGAACGCUGAGCGUUACAAC
rnacentral:ncRNA from 1 species